GAAAGAAAAGUUUAUUUAGGAUGUUUUAGUUCCUGAAGGCCUCUCUACUAUGGGGAAAGGGAAGGGCAAACAGGUGUAUACUCCAGAACAAGAACAAGCAAGGAUGAACUCUCUUCAAAGUUUCAAUUUACUUUUGUUCCUUUAAAUGGCAUCAUGACUCUCUACACUUAUUCUUUUUUAAGUCCGCUUUCAUUCUCCUUUUAAAUUCACAUUUAACUUGUGUUUAGUUAAAAACAAAUAACAAGAAUUCGACAUUAAAGUGACAAGAUUAUAGGGAAGUGAACAGUUUUUUUUUGUAGGUGGAAUUCAACUAGGGAGCCUUAAAAUAGGUGAUUCAAAUUUAAAUGCCACCAAAAACUUAUUUUUGAGAUUUGUUUUCGAUUAUCAUAUAAGAGAGGUUGCUUCAAGCAUAGCAGGGAAACCCAAUUACACUGCUAAGGGAUUUUUAUUCUCCCCGUCUCUAAAACCCACCGGCCAUCAAAGUGCAUUUUUCGUAUCCUCUCAUCAUAUUAGUUUUUUGUUCUAUAUCAUUAUUUAUAGACGGAAUUUUGAAGAAUCAUGGGAGGGGUUUGCUGACUUAUGAACUCAAAAUAAGAUUUAUCAAGGGAGAAAUAUAAACUAAAGAAGCAAAGCAAUAGCAAGCUCAAAGCACUUGACAUAUGUUAAAUUAAAGGAAAAGCAUGCUGAUGGUAAGGACCUUCUGGUAGGUCAAUGAUGUUAUUAUUUCCAAUUCCUCUUUUGCAAUGCCAUAUUUGUUUUCUAAUUCGCUCCACAAUCAUUAUGUUUGGUUCUUGUAACAGAAUGCUAGUAAGACAGAUUCAUUUGACUACAGAUUUGCAGCGUCCAGUAACUCUUUUCUGUGGUUUAUCUAGAACAAAUGUUGGACACUGCUUACGGGUUCAGUUUCAUUGAACAAGGUCGCUGAACCACAGGUUAUAUCCCUUAUUAAAUGUGUUGUCUCUAGCCAUCGACACUCAAAUUAGCUUUUGCUUAUAUGCGCUAUCAUCUAAAUUGAGGAAUCAUUUGGUAAUGUUUUCUUUAAAUACUUGACUUUAUUUAUUUCACUGUGCAUUAUGGUAUUUUCAACACGUUAAUUUGUUUAGGUUGUGAGGUUGUAUAUGUUUCCUAAAAUAACUUUUGUUCAUUCACGCAUUUUUGUUCUAAUUUGAUCGUUCUUUAUAUGUUAUGUUGUACUGAUAUAUCUAGUAGCAAAAUAUUUAGUACAUUGAUAUCUCAAUUAUCUCUAAAUUUUGGUGCUUCAAUGUAGUGAUUUUCUCGAUUUGUCUUGAAAUACUUCUUUCUAUUUAUGGAUUUGCUCGAGAUAUUGGUCGCUUCAAUUAUGUGCUAUCAUAAAAUAUUGGUUACUUAUAGGCUGCCUUAGAAUUACCUAUAAAUGUCCCAGAAAAUUGGUUGCCUUAAAUGUCUCAAAAUAUUAUUUGCCUCUAAAUGUCUUUGAAAAUUUGUUGCCUUGAAUGUCUCGAAAAUUUUGUUGUUUUGAAUGUCUCGAAGAAGUGGUUGCCUUAAAUGUCCUGUAAUAUGGGUUUCUUUUAAAUGUAAUGAAAUAUAGAUUGGUUCAAUGCCCCAAAAUAUUGGUUGACUUGAAAUGUCCUAAAAUAUUGGAUGCCUCGAUAUGUUUCGAAAGAUGGUGGCCUUGAUAUGCUUGAAAAUUUUAGAUUGAAUGCCUCGAAAUUGGUUGAAAUAUGGGUUGUAUAGAUAUGUCCCAAAAUAUUUGUUGUCUUGACAUGUCAUGAAAUAUUAGUUUGAAAUAUAGAUUAUCUCAAAAUGUCUUCGAAAUAUAGGUGUCUCAAAUUUAGAUUACCAUGAAAUGUCGUGGAAUAUAGGUUGUCUUAAAAUGCCCUUAGAUAUAUGUUUUUUCAAAUGUAGAUUGUCUUGAAAUGUCUCUAAAUAUAGGUUGUUAAAAUGCCAAUGUCUUGGAAUAUUAGUUGCCUCUUACGAAAUAUCUUUAAAAAUUAAUUCCCUUGAAAUGUGCAAAAAUAUAGGUUCCUUGAAAUAUUG